rnacentral:rRNA from 1 species
UACAGAGGGUGCGAGCGUUAAUCGGAAUUACUGGGCGUAAAGCGUGCGUAGACGGCUAUCUAAGUCGGGCGUGAAAUCCCCGGGCUUAACCUGGGAAUGGCGUCCGAAACUAUGGGACUGGAGUGUGGCAGAGGGAGGUGGAAUUCCACGUGUAGCGGUGAAAUGCGUAGAGAUGUGGAGGAACACCGAUGGCGAAGGCAGCCUCCUGGGCCAACACUGACGCUCAUGCACGAAAGCGUGGGGAGCAAACAGG